rnacentral:tRNA from 1 species
GGGGUAUCGCCAAGCGGUAAGGCACCGGUUUUUGAUACCGGCAUUCCCUGGUUCGAAUCCAGGUACCCCAGCCAU